GGGGGCGUAGCUCAGAUGGGAGAGCACCUGCCUUGCAAGCAGGGGGUCAGGAGUUCAACUCUCCUCGUCUCCA
rnacentral:tRNA from 1 species